rnacentral:rRNA from 1 species
GGGCCCGCACAAGCGGUGGAGCAUGUGGUUUAAUUCGAUGAUACGCGAGGAACCUUACCAGGACUUAAAUGUAAGUUGCAUGAUUCAGAAAUGAAUCUUUCUUCGGACUACUUACAAGGUGCUGCAUGGUUGUCGUCAGCUCGUGCCGUGAGGUGUCAGGUUAAGUCCUAUAACGAGCGCAACCCCUAUCGUUAGUUGCCAUCAAGUAAAGUUGGGAACUCUAGCGAAACUGCCGGUGCAAACCGUGAGGAAGGUGGGGAUGACGUCAAAUCAUCACGGCCCUUACGUUCUGGGGCUACACACGUGCUACAAUGGCCGGUACAGAAAGCAGCCACACCGCAAGGUGGAG